GACGAACGCUGGCGGCGUGCUUAACACACGCGAGUCGAACGGAAAGGCCCUGCUUUUGUGGGGUGCUCGAGUGGCGAACGGGAGAGUAACACGUGAGUAACCUGCCCUUGACUUUGGGAUAACUUCAGGAAACUGGGGCUAAUACCGGAUAGGAGCUCCUGCUGCAUGGUGGGGGUUGGAAAGUUUCGGCGGUUGGGGAUGGACUCGCGGCUUAUCAGCUUGUUGGUGGGGUAGUGGCUUACCAAGGCUUUGACGGGUAGCCGGCCUGAGAGGGUGACCGGCCACAUUGGGACUGAGAUACGGCCCAGACUCCUACGGGAGGCAGCAGUGGGGAAUAUUGCACAAUGGGCGGAAGCCUGAUGCGGCAACGCCGCGUGCGGGAUGACGGCCUUCGGGUUGUAAACCGCUUUCGCCUGUGACGAAGCGUGAGUGACGGUAAUGGGUAAAGAAGCACCGGCUAACUACGUG
rnacentral:rRNA from 1 species